rnacentral:rRNA from 1 species
CACGUAGGGUGCGAGCGUUGUCCGGAAUUAUUGGGCGUAAAGAGCUCGUAGGCGGUGUGUCGCGUCGGCCGUGAAAACCUGCAGCUUAACUGUGGGCUUGCAGUCGAUACGGGCAGGCUGGAGUUCGGUAGGGGAGACUGGAAUUCCUGGUGUAGCGGUGAAAUGCGCAGAUAUCAGGAGGAACACCGGUGGCGAAGGCGGGUCUCUGGGCCGAUACUGACGCUGAGGAGCGAAAGCGUGGGGAGCGAACAGG